rnacentral:rRNA from 1 species
GACGAACGCUGGCGGCGUGCUUAACACAUGCAAGUCGAGCGGUAAGGGCCCUUUCGGGGGUACACGAGCGGCGAACGGGUGAGUAACACGUGGGUGACCUGCCCCUCAGCUCUGGGAUAAGCCUGGGAAACUGGGUCUAAUACUGGAUAUGACUCCACGGUGCAUGUCGUGGGGUGGAAAGCCUUGUGCGGCUGAGGAUGGGCCCGCGGCCUAUCAGCUUGUUGGUGGGGNGAUGGCCUACCAAGGCGACGACGGGUAGCCGGCCUGAGAGGGCGACCGGGCCACACUGGGACUGAGACACGGCCCAGGACUCCUACGGGAGGCAGCAGUGGGGAAUCUUGCGCAAUGGGCGAAAGCCUGACGCAGCGACGCCGCGUGAGGGAUGACGGCCUGGUUGGUAAC